rnacentral:rRNA from 1 species
CUACGGAAGGCAGCAGUGGGGAAUCUUGCGCCAAUGCGGGAAACCGUGACGCAGCGACGCCGCGUGGGGGAAGAAGGCCUUCGGGUUGUAAACCUCUUUCAGGAGGGACGAAGCCACUCGGGUGAAUAGCCCAGAGGGUGACGGUACCUCCAGAAGAAGCCCCGGCUAACUACGUGCCAGCAGCCGCGGUAAUACGUAGGGGGCAAGCGUUGUCCGGAUUUAUUGGGCGUAAAGAGCGUGUAGGCGGCCUGGUAGGUCUGCUGUGAAAACUCGAGGCUCAACCUCGAGAUGUCGGCGGAAACCAUCUGGCUAGAGUCCGGAAGAGGAGAGUGGAAUUCCUGGUGUAGCGGUGAAAUGCGCAGAUAUCAGGAAGAACACCUAUGGCGAAGGCAGCUCUCUGGGACGGUACUGACGCUGAGACGCGAAAGCGUGGGGAGCGAACAGGAUUAGAUACCCUGGUAGC